rnacentral:rRNA from 1 species
GAUGAACGCUGGCGGCGUGCCUAAUACAUGCAAGUAGAACGCUGAAGGAGGAGCUUGCUCUUCUGGAUGAGUUGCGAACGGGUGAGUAACGCGUAGGUAACCUGCCUGGUAGCGGGGGAUAACUAUUGGAAACGAUAGCUAAUACCGCAUGACAACAGUUACUGCAUGAUAACUGUUUAAAAGGGGCAACUGCUCCACUACCAGAUGGACCUGCGUUGUAUUAGCUAGUUGGUGAGGUAACGGCUCACCAAGGCGACGAUACAUAGCCGACCUGAGAGGGUGAUCGGCCACACUGGGACUGAGACACGGCCCAGACUCCUACGGGAGGCAGCAGUAGGGAAUCUUCGGCAAUGGACGGAAGUCUGACCGAGCAACGCCGCGUGAGUGAAGAAGGGUUUCGGAUCGUAAAGCUCUGUUGUAAGAGAAGAACGAGUGUGAGAGUGGAAAGUUCACACUGUGACGGUAUCUUACCAGAAAGGGACGGCUAACUACGUG